rnacentral:tRNA from 1 species
GCGCCGGUAGUGUAAGGCGAACAUCGCUGCCCGAAAAGCAGAUGCGGGUUCGAGUCCCGCCUGGCGCA